rnacentral:rRNA from 1 species
GUGGGGAAUAUUCCGCAAUGGACGAAAGUCUGACGGAGCAACGCCGCGUGAGUGAUGAAGGUUUUCGGACUGUAAAGCUCUGUUGUUUAGGACGAAAGUGCCUGUUGCAAAUAGUUACAGGUAUUGACGGUACUGAACGAGGAAGCCACGGCUAACUACGUGCCAGCAGCCGCGGUAAUACGUAGGUGGCAAGCGUUGUCCGGAAUUAUUUGGCGUAAAGAGAAUGUAGGCGGGAAUCUAAGUCUGUUGUGAAAAUGCGGGGCUCAACCCCGUAUUGCGAUGGAAACUGGGUUUCUUGAGUGCAGGAGAGGAAAGGGGAAUUCCCAGUGUAGCGGUGAAAUGCGUAGAUAUUGGGAGGAACACCAGUGGCGAAGGCGCCUUUCUGGACUGUGUCUGACGCUGAGAUGCGAAAGCCAGGGUAGCGAACGGGAUUAGAAACCCUAGUAGUCC